rnacentral:rRNA from 1 species
UACGUAGGGUGCAAGCGUUAAUCGGAAUUACUGGGCGUAAAGCGUGCGCAGGCGGUUUGGUAAGACAGAUGUGAAAUCCCCGGGCUUAACCUGGGAAUUGCAUUUGUGACUGCCCGGCUAGAGUUUGGCAGAGGGGGGUAGAAUUCCACGUGUAGCAGUGAAAUGCGUAGAUAUGUGGAGGAAUACCGAUGGCGAAGGCAGCCCCCUGGGCUAACACUGACGCUCAUGCACGAAAGCGUGGGGAGCAAACAGG